GAUGAACGCUGGCGGCGUGCCUAAUACAUGCAAGUCGAGCGAACGGACGAGAAGCUUGCUUCUCUGAUGUUAGCGGCGGACGGGUGAGUAACACGUGGAUAACCUACCUAUAAGACUGGGAUAACUUCGGGAAACCGGAGCUAAUACCGGAUAAUAUUUUGAACCGCAUGGUUCAAAAGUGAAAGACGGUCUUGCUGUCACUUAUAGAUGGAUCCGCGCUGCAUUAGCUAGUUGGUAAGGUAACGGCUUACCAAGGCAACGAUGCAUAGCCGACCUGAGAGGGUGAUCGGCCACACUGGAACUGAGACACGGUCCAGACUCCUACGGGAGGAAGCAGUAGGGAAUCUUCCGCAAUGGGCGAAAGCCUGACGGAGCAACGCCGCGUGAGUGAUGAAGGUCUUCGGAUCUUAAAACUCUGUUAUUAGGGAAGAACAUAUGUGUAAGUAACUGUGCACAUCUUGACGGUACCUAAUCAGAAAGCCACGGCUAACUACGUG
rnacentral:rRNA from 1 species